AUAAGUUUCGCAACUGGUCAUCUCAUCUCUAGUGAUCACUAUAGCCCCACGCAUCUCUUACGUAUACCACAACAUAACUAUACCCUAAUCUCUUCCUCUUUAUCAUUGGCUUAAGUUUUGAAAAAAAGAACUAGAAGAAGACACAUCAUCUCUUUCAAUGGCUGUUUCAUUUCAAACCAAGUACCCUCUAAGACCCAUCACCAACGUCUCAAGAACCAACCGUCCUUCACUUCUCCAUGUUCGUGUCACGUGCUCUGCUACUACCACAACCACCACAAAGACUCAGCCUAACCGUGAAAAAAAGCUUGUGGUUGAGAAACGUUUUGUGAGUCCUCCUCUUUCCAACGACCCAACUCUGCAGUCUACAUGGACUCACCGCUUAUGGGUUGCAGCUGGUUGCACCACAUUGGUGGCCUCUUUAGCUAAGUCUAUCAUCGGAGGGGUUGGUUCUCACCUCUGGCUCGAACCAGCUUUAGCCGGUUAUGCAGGGUACGUCUUGGCUGAUCUUGGCUCUGGUGUGUACCACUGGGCUAUAGAUAACUACGGAGAUGAGUCAACGCCACUUGUAGGAGCAUCUAUAAAUUGCCUAACUACUAGUGAUUUCUUGAACAUUGGUUUCACAUGAUCAUAUACAAAUAUAGAAACAAAGCAAGUGAAGUAGAAUUAAUCAACAAGUCUCUAUUAAGAACCUUCACAACUCUAAACCCACACACAAAAACUUCAACAUAUUCCCUCAAAAUCAAACCUUUGAAACAGUAAAAAAAAUUAAUCAUUUCGUCAACCUUAAUGUGAAGUGUACCGCCGCCAAACUCAGAACCGGACUUGUUAUUGAGCUCCAACCAAGCCUUGUUCUCGUAAAAGCAAGCACCUUUCCACUCCACGGCGUCGUUUUUAAUAGAGGCGGCGCCUAUGUAAGUAGGGAGGAGGUCGACGGCGGAGUUGAGAGAGUUGAGAAGCGGCCAGGAGAGUUGCCUGGGCAAGAGCGGGAGCAGGUCCCGAGGGUGAAAUGGUAAUUUGACGGAUGAAACAGUGAGAACCAUCAGAACGGUAACGGCGAAGAUGAUGGCCGGAGAAGACGAAGAAACCGCCAUGGGUCAAUCAAAGUGUCUCCCUUUCCGUGUCGAACUCGCAACUGUUAAUGACUUGGUUUAACGUAUUUAUUCGAGUAUAUUCCUCGAAUACAUGUAAUCAAAACUUUAUAUUUAUAUAUGUUUUGUUAUGGGGGUGUAAUAGCUAUUUUUAAAAUGUUAGGUGUAAUUCUGUGAGUUUAGAAACUAAGAAGCCAAAUUCUGAAACGUUUCUAUAAGUUUCGCAACUGGUCAUCUCAUCUCUAGUGAUCACUAUAGCCCCACGCAUCUCUUACGUAUACCACAACAUAACUAUACCCUAAUCUCUUCCUCUUUAUCAUUGGCUUAAGUUUUGAAAAAAAGAACUAGAAGAAGACACAUCAUCUCUUUCAAUGGCUGUUUCAUUUCAAACCAAGUACCCUCUAAGACCCAUCACCAACGUCUCAAGAACCAACCGUCCUUCACUUCUCCAUGUUCGUGUCACGUGCUCUGCUACUACCACAACCACCACAAAGACUCAGCCUAACCGUGAAAAAAAGCUUGUGGUUGAGAAACGUUUUGUGAGUCCUCCUCUUUCCAACGACCCAACUCUGCAGUCUACAUGGACUCACCGCUUAUGGGUUGCAGCUGGUUGCACCACAUUGGUGGCCUCUUUAGCUAAGUCUAUCAUCGGAGGGGUUGGUUCUCACCUCUGGCUCGAACCAGCUUUAGCCGGUUAUGCAGGGUACGUCUUGGCUGAUCUUGGCUCUGGUGUGUACCACUGGGCUAUAGAUAACUACGGAGAUGAGUCAACGCCACUUGUAGGAGCACAAAUCGAAGCGUUUCAGGGUCACCA
rnacentral:lncRNA from 1 species